rnacentral:sRNA from 1 species
UAGAGUGAGGUACAAAGUUGAUUUACAAUAAAAUUGAGAAAGACCCAAACUACAAUCUAGAAAUUUAGGAAUUGAUUUUUUUAUUUCGAUACGCGAACACGGAACCUACAAACACUAUCUAUUUGAUCUCCAUUCAUAUGCGAGGAAUUAAUUACUCUUGCAUUAUUGAUCAUAUGUAAGUAGAUAAAUUAACUUUCUAAAAACAUUUCGGUCGCCAUCGUAUUAGUUGAGAUUUUUGAUUACUACUUAUGUAAGUGCGGAUGAGGUAAUAAUAAAGUGCAGAAAGUAAAGAGAUAAGAAAUUUGUUAACGAGGUUCGGUUUUUCCUACUCCCCGGGACCACGUCCAGAUUUCGAUUUCACUAGAACAAGAAAGCAAAUUACAAUGAAUUCGCAAACGCGUAAAACAAGCACACCCCUCUUGAUUUACCGCUCCCUUCUAUAAACGUGAAACCUUAAGGAUAAUCUCUACCCUUAACUAAACUCCCCUGAGUCUAGAUUUAAUCAGGAUAACCUAACCCUGAGUUAAACUCCUUCUGAGCCUAGACUUCAAUUCUCCAAGUCUCUGGAAUAACCUUCACGCACCAACAAACAAGCUUGAUCACACAAGCACCAAACCCGCGAAACUAUGUCGCAUAAAACCGUGAAACUAUGUCGCACACACCCUUAGAAAGCUCUCAAUGAUUUGUCUUUAUGUCUCAGCUCUCCUGCCUCUCCAAGACGUCCUACCUCCUCCUUAUGUAGCCAAAACGAUUUCCUAAUCACCAUAGGAGAAGAUUUCCUUUUUCCAUAAGAAAAAGUAAAUUUACUCUUAUCCUUUUUCUCAUCAAACUCCACUUUCAUCAAGUCUUCCAAAUCUCUUUAAGUCCUUUUUCUUUUUUGAUUCAUCCUCUAAACACGCUCUUCUCAAAUCUUCUAGAAACCGAUACUCACACAAAACUGUCGCAUCCUGAAUUAUUUCUUGAAUCAUUCAGCAAUUUUAUCAGAUAAAAUCAUGUAUUACUUCUUGUAUCAUUCAACACUUUCAUCAGCAGCAGCUACAUCUUCAACUUAGUCCUGUAAUUUAUUUUCUUAACAUACAAUUGAAUUCAGCUAAUCGUCCUUGCGAAUGAUCAAAUGCAUAGAUAAUUGUAUCAUCCUAAA